GGGAAGGUAGCUCAGUGGUAGAGUGCUUGCCUCCCGUGCAUGAGGUCCUGGGUUCGAUUCCUCCGCACCA
rfam:Dipodomys ordii contig_45163, whole genome shotgun sequence.